CCUACGGGUGGCACCAGUGGGGAAUAUUGGACAGUGGGCGAAAGCCUGAUCCAGCAAUGCCGCGUGUGUGAAGAAGGUCUUCGGAUUGUAAAGCACUUUCGACGGGGACGAUGAUGGCGGUACCGUAGAAGAAGCCCCGGCUAACUUCGUGCCAGCAGCCGCGGUAAUACGAAGGGGGCUAGCGUUGCUCGGAAUGACUGGGCGUAAAGGGCGCGUAGGCGGUUUAUGCAGUCAGAUGUGUAAUCCCCGGGCUUAACCUGGGAACUGCAUUUGAGGCGCAUAGACUAGAGGCCGAGAGAGGGUUGUGGAAUUCCCAGUGUAGAGGUGAAAUUCGUAGAUAUUGGGAAGAACACCGGUGGCGAAGGUGGCAACCUGGCUCGAUACUGACGCUGAGGCGCGAAAGCGUGGGGAGCAAACAGGAUUAGAUACCCCUGUAGUC
rnacentral:rRNA from 1 species